rnacentral:rRNA from 1 species
GUCGACGAUACCUUCGGGUAUAGUGGCGCACGGGUGAGUAACACGUGGGAAUAUACCUUUCAGUGGGGGAUAACAUCGGGAAACUGAUGCUAAUACCGCAUACGCCCUUAGGGGGAAAGAUUUAUCGCUGAAAGAUUAGCCCGCGUCCGAUUAGCUAGUUGGUGAGGUAAUGGCUCACCAAGGCGACGAUCGGUAGCUGGUCUGAGAGGAUGACCAGCCACACUGGGACUGAGACACGGCCCAGACUCCUACGGGAGGCAGCAGUGGGGAAUAUUGGACAAUGGGCGCAAGCCUGAUCCAGCCAUGCCGCGUGAGUGAUGAAGGCCUUAGGGUUGUAAAGCUCUUUCGACGGGGACGAUGAUGACGGUAUCCGUAGAAGAAGCCCCGGCUAACUUCGUGCCAGCAGCCGCGGUAAUACGAAGGGGGCUAGCGUUGUUCGGAAUUACUGGGCGUAAAGCGCACGCAGGCGGUUCGAUUAG